AUUGAACGCUGGCGGCAGGCCUAACACAUGCAAGUCGAACGCGUGGCGGACGGGUGAGUAAUGUCUGGGAAAAUGCCCGAUGGAGGGGGAUAACCACUGGAAACGGUAGCUAAUAACGCCUACCCUCGGAUGUGCCCAGAUGGGUUUCGCUAGUAGGUGGGGUAACGGCACACCUAGGCGACGAUCCCUAGCUGGUCUGAAAGGAUGACCAGCCACACUGGAACUGAGACACGGUCCAGACUCCUACGGGAGGCAGCAGUGGGGAAUAUUGCACAAUGGGCGCAAGCCUGAUGCAGCCAUGCCGCGUGUAUGAAGAAGGCCUUCGGGUUGUAAAGUACUUUCAGCGGGGAGGCGUUACCCGCAGAAGAAGCACCGGCUAACUCCGUGCCAGCAGCCGCGGUAAUAC
rnacentral:rRNA from 1 species